rnacentral:rRNA from 1 species
UGACCUAAACCCUCACCAGAGUAACAAUUGGAGGGCAAGUCUGGUGCCAGCAGCCGCGGUAAUUCCAGCUCCAAUAGCGUAUAUUAAACUUGUUGCAGUUAAAAAGCUCGUAGUUGAAUUUCUGCGUUAUCGAGUUAUUGACUCUUGUCUUUAAUCGAUUUCGCUUUUGGGAUUUAUCCCUUUUUACUUUGAGAAAAUUAGAGUGUUUCAAGCAGACUUUUGUCUUGAAUACUUCAGCAUGGAAUAAUAGAGUAGGACUUUGGUUCUAUUUUGUUGGUUUUUGAACCUUAGUAAUGGUUAAUAGGAACGGUUGGGGGCAUUCGUAUUUAACUGUCAGAGGUGAAAUUCUUAGAUUUGUUAAAGACGAACUACUGCGAAAGCAUUUGCCAAGGACGUUUCCAUUAAUCAAGAA